rnacentral:lncRNA from 1 species
UUUCUCUCAUUCUUCUUCUUCUCCAUCACUCAUCUUCCCCAACACUCCACACACUAAACCCUAGCCUCCAACAACACACCCAUCUACCAUUGAAGACCAUUGAAGAGAAGAGAAGGAAGAAGAAGCUCAUAAAUAGGAUUUGUCAUUUCUUACUCUCUCUUUCAUUAUGUAUACCUUUAACUUUGAUUUAUUGUGUUUGAACAUGUUAGGCUAAAUUUCUCUUUGAUUUGGGGAUUAGGCUAGAUGAUUAUUG